rnacentral:piRNA from 1 species
UGCAACAAAUGGUGAAGAACAACAAGGAAA